GUUAUCCUACGGGGCGCAGCAGUGGGGGAUAUUGCACAAUGGGGGAAACCCUGAUGCAGCGACGCCGCGUGAAGGAAGAAGUAUUUCGGUAUGUAAACUUCUAUCAGCAGGGAAGAAAAUGACGGUACCUGACUAAGAAGCCCCGGCUAACUACGUGCCAGCAGCCGCGGUAAUACGUAGGGGGCAAGCGUUAUCCGGAUUUACUGGGUGUAAAGGGAGCGUAGGCGGUUUAGCAAGUCAGAAGUGAAAGCCCGGGGCUCAACUCCGGGACUGCUUUUGAAACUGUUGAACUAGAUUGCAGUGGG
rnacentral:rRNA from 1 species